GAUUCUGGCUCAGAACGAACGCUGGCGGCAUGGAUUAGGCAUGCAAGUCGAACGAGGUAGCAAUACCGAGUGGCGGAAGGGUGAGGAACACGUGAGUAAUCUGCCCCCAAGUUGGGAAUAACAGUUGGAAACGAUUGCUAAUACCGAAUGUGGCUGUUUUGUUGCAUGACUGAACAGUUAAAGAUUUAUCGCUUGGGGAUGAGCUCGCGUCCCAUUAGUUAGUUGGUGAGGUAACGGCCCACCAAGACAAUGAUGGGUAGCUGGUCUGAGAGGAUGGUCAGCCACACUGGGACUGAGACACUGCCCAGACUCCUACGGGAGGCUGCAGUCGAGAAUCUUGGGCAAUGCGCGAAAGCCUGAUGCAGCGAACCGCCGCGUGAGCGAAGAAGUAUUUCGGUAUGUAAAGCUCUAUCAGCAGGGAAGAUAAUGACGGUACCUGACUAAGAAGCACCGGCUAAAUACGUGCCAGCAGCCGC
rnacentral:rRNA from 1 species